ensembl:lncRNA
CGUGGCCACACACUGCAGUGUUCUUGUGGGGAAUCCCCUUUCAUACAGGAGCCUGGCGGGGCUCCACAGGGCCGCGAAGCGUUGGACACGACUCAGCACACACACACGCGCUUACAGGAUCAGCGCUGCCGUGAGACAAACCGUCGUGAGGAACUCACGCCCGAGGGGCUUUAGAAUCUGAAACGGGUGAGUCAAGUGCGAGCUACGGAUUCUGCAUCCUCCGUCAGUUUCGCCUUUUGUUUUCGCUUGCGGACAGCCAUCUCCAGGGUCUCGUCGGUUUUGUGUGCAGCCAGCCG